AGCUCCAAUAGCGUAUAUUAAAGUUGUUGUAGUUAAAAAGCUCGUAGUUGGAUUUCUGCUGAUGACGACCGGUCCGCUCUCUGGGUGAGUAGCUGGCUCGGCCUGGGCAUCUUCUUGGAGAACGUAGCUGCACUUGACUGUGUGGUGCGGUAUCCAAGACCUUUACUUUGAAGAAAUUAGAGUGUUUCAAGCAGGCACACGCCUUGAAUACAUUAGCAUGGAAUAAUAAGAUAGGACCUUGGUUCUAUUUUGUUGGUUUCUAGAGCUGAGGUAAUGAUCAAUAGGGAUAGUUGGGGACAUUCGUAUUUAAUUCUCAGAGGUGAGAUUCUUUGGUUUGUUCAAGACGGACUACUGUGAAAGCAUUUGCCAAGGAUGUUU
rnacentral:rRNA from 1 species